GGAAAAACUAGUUAAAAAAUAACAAAAGAAUGUCAUUCUUUAAUUACUUUAUUAAAGUGUUUUUUA
rnacentral:tRNA from 1 species